UAUAGCGGGCAAGGAGAAGAGAGUCAAUUCCUUUAGAGAGCCACAGGUCCACAGCUGAUGGCGUCGGUACCUCCCGCCAAGACACACGGCUGGCCUCACUGGAGUGCCGUUAUAUUUUCAGCCUGUAUAGAGGUGACAGUGCCGUGACAGAGAUGGUGGAGGUUAUUAAUGCACCAAGGAACAGGUGUGUAAGGUGUGGCAGUGGUGUUGAUAAGGGAUUAGUGUGUAAGAAGGGAAAGAAGUGUGGUGGGCCGAGUGCGUGUCAACAAAUUUAGUGGUGACAGUGGUGAUGGCCGUGUGGUGUUGCUUAUACACCCCAUAAACACACUCAAACACCCCGCAACACAUCCACAAUAUGCCCAUAUACACCCACACACACACAAGGUGAAGUGAUGACAUUCCCGACAGCACCAGCGGCGAGACAAGAGAGCAAUGCAAAUCUUCACCACAACGCCUCACCAUCAUUUAUUUCAGGCUCAGGCGUGUAGAUGGAAGCAGUAGAAGAAAGAAAGAAGGAGAAUGAAGAAGAAUGGAAAUGGAAGAAGAGGAGGAGCCAAGCCACAAUAUUUAGUGUUGUAUAAUUUCAUGGUAUGAUGGACGCAGCUGAGGUGGGCCUCCGCUGUGGCCAGGCAGUUCAGCCUUGCCGUCAACCCUCUAUGUGAUGAGUCCGCAGAAAACGACACGCCAAUUUAUUUGAAGUCCUUGACGGAGAUUAAAACGGCCUUGAAAAACACCACACCCGUUUUGUCCACCGCCAUCACCACCACCUCCCAGAUCAAGGACAAAGUGUAUUACUGUCUGACACAUAAGGAAGAGGAGCGAGCCAUGAGGGAGGCGGUGGAGGUGUGGGGGGGUUUCAGCACACUAUCAGUUCAUGCUUGGGAUGGGACACACUGGGACAGCCUGGGACCGUUGGUGGGAGCAAGACAAGGCUGUGGCAAUUCUGCGGAGGUUUGCCACUCAGACCUGUUGCCAUGUUACUAUUAUUGCACAUCUUAAGAAGCCUAUAGCCUCAGGGCAUAACGAGUCUUCACUCACGAGAGAGAGAGGGCGCGAGAUUCAGACGUGCGCAGGGAGACGAUAAGGGUGUGGUGUGAAUGAGCAAGUGAGAGAGCUGGCAUUGGGAGCCGAGCGGGAAAGGCAGCGCGGCAUGUGUAGGCUACGGGAGGCUAGCCAAGAUGUAUGAAGAUUGUACUGUACUUAUGCUAUGGAAUGGUUUUGUUACUGUAAAGCAUACUUAAGAAAUAUAAAAAUAUGGCUGAUU